rnacentral:lncRNA from 1 species
UUAGAAUAGCUAUUCAUUUAUUCUUGUAUUUUUAUUAGCUAAUAUUUUUAUUAUUAUAAUAUUUAUUAUAUUUAAUUAAAAUAAAAGAAAUAACCUACCACUACCCUCACCCCACUUUCUCUACCAAUUACCCCACCCUUACCUACAUUAUCCCCAUGAUCCCAUAAUAUAUACUCCACUCAACUCCCUCAACUAAAAACAUAUAUACUACACCACUUCAUCCAUACACACGGACUACAUACUCCCUAUACGUACCACACACCCUAUAUAUAUUAGCAGACUUCCCACAAACAAAAGAAAGGGAGACAGAAAACGUACAGAGGCACAACCAAAAAAAACAAAAAAAAAAACAAACACACACGUCAGAAAGAAGAAAAAAACCAAUCGGUAUACCCACAAACAUUUUUCAUCUCUUUGUUUUUUUAUUACUUUUAUAUAAACACAACACACAUCCACACCAAAGCUUUGUGAGCGUUCUAAUCGAGGUUUGGUCCAGAUUUUGCGAUUCUUAUUUCUUCAUUUAAGGUUCAACUUUACCUUAUCUCUUUN